rnacentral:rRNA from 1 species
GAUGAACGCUAGCUACAGGCUUAACGCGUGCAAGUCGAGGGGUAACGAGAGGAAAGCUUGCUUUCCUUGUCGACGACCGGCGCACGGGUGAGUAACGCGUAUCCAACCUGCCCCCAACUAAGGAAUAACCUUGCGAAAGUAAGACUAAUACCUUACAAUUUCCUCAGAUGUCAUCUGACGAGGAAUAAAGAUUUAUCGGUUGUGGAUGGGGAUGCGUCUGAUUAGCUUGUUGGCGGGGUAACGGCCCACCAAGGCAACGAUCAGUAGGGGUUCUGAGAGGAAGGUCCCCCACAUUGGAACUGAGACACGGUCCAAACUCCUACGGGAGGCAGCAGUGAGGAAUAUUGGUCAAUGGGCGAAAGCCUGAACCAGCCAAGUAGCGUGCAGGAUGACGGCCCUAUGGGUUGUAAACUGCUUUUAUACAGGAAUAAAGUUAGCCACGUGUGGUUAUUUGUAGGUACUGUAUGAAUAAGGACCGGCUAAUUCCGUGCCAGCCGCCGCCGUAA